CUCAAAACGCAGCCCAAACCUCCAGGCUCUCCAGCAGCCAUUCCAGAUCCAGGCUCUGAAGGGGGGAUGGCUUCCCACUGCCAGAGGGCAGGGCUGGAUGGGAUAUUGGGAAUUAGGAAUUGUUCCCUGGCAGGGUGGGCAGGCCUGGCACAGGGUGCCCAGAGCAGCUGUGGCUGCCCCUGGAUCCCUGGCAGUGUCCCAGGGCAGGCUGGAGCAGCCUGGGACAGUGGGAGGUGUUUGAUGGCAGGGGGUGGGAUGGGAUGAGCUUUAAGUCCCUUCCAACCCAACCCAACCCAUUUGAUGAUAUCAUGAAAUGAAUAAGAUUGUUCCUUUCCACAAUCAUCCUUUCACAUUUUUGGCAGGUUCUAUUCUCCUUCCAGACCCUGUUCUAGGUCAGGUGAGGGGCAGCAACAAGCUCUCACAGGCAGGCUGCUCACCCCAAGCCCAGCAGCUGACCAGACAAAAUGCUGUGCCUGAGCCAAGCAGCUUGUACUGGUGCAGGCUUCCAGCUCUGGAAACAGCAAAAAUCUCCCAGAGGAUGAAAGGAUCACAAGCCUCCAGCUGCUGGAAUUCCUCUGCUCUUUGAUACGCUCCACUUCCCAGUGCAUUUGCUCCCUGGGCUCCCAAGCAGCUGGACAGACUGGUUCCCACACAGCUGGGCUCACAUGGAGGAGCAUAUGGAUCACUUCUGCAGCUGAGACAGUGGAGAGCAUGGGGGAGAGGACCUGGCUGUCCCACAGGGAGGAUGGAGCGACCUUGGGGCCCCUCAGGAGAAGCAGUGUGAGAUGAUGUAAUGCAGAUCUCCCCAAAUGAACUGCUGUGGCCACAGGCAGCCAUUGCUUUGGUAGCCCGAGCUGCUGUGGAUGAAAACACACUGGACCAUCAGUCAGGCUGCUCCUGGCUACCAAAAAAACCCCCUUGGGACUGGCAGCAUCCAAUAUUUAUGGUUUCUGUCCUGGCCUGCAGUGACAGGACGUGGNNNNNNNNNNNNNNNNNNNNNNNNNNNNNNNNNNNNNNNNNNNNNNNNNNNNNNNNNGAAAAAACCCCCCCCCCCCCCCCCUUGGGAAGGAAUUGUUCCCUGGGAGGGUGGGCAGGCCCUGGCACAGGGUGCCCAGAGCAGCUGUGGCUGCCCCUGGAUCCCUGGCAGUGUCCCAGGGCAGGCUGGACACUGGGGCUGGGAGCAGCCUGGGACAGUGGAAGGUGUCCCUGCCAUGGCAGGGGGUGGAAAAAGAUGGUUCUGAAGGUCCCUCCCAACCCAAAUCCUUUGAUGAUGAUGAUGGGUCUCUGAUUUUUUCCAGCCGUGAGGGCCUGGGAAAUUGACUGUGCUGAAAGCUCGAGUAAGAGCAAGCUCGGGAAAACAUCUUUAGAAAGCAUCUUUAAAGUGUUUUGUUGAUGCACUUCCCCUAUUUUUCGUCAAGCCUGAGGGGGCUGAUAUGCAGCUGGAAACAGUUCCCGUUGUUUUCCAGCUCCUCCAGGGCUGCUCCAGGCAGGCAUCUUCAGGAAAGCCGCUCUGAAUUGACUUCCAAAUGAGAGUAAUUAAAGCAAACGAGGCUUUUGCAGGGAGGGAAGAGCUCCCGGCUGGAUGAUGCACUCGGCUCAAGGUAAUUGUCCCAGAUCAGCUCUCUGUGCUGGGGAUGGGAUGGGAUGGGAUGGGAUGGUUUAACACUCCACAGACUUCUCCCUCCUUCCCAUUAUUUCCCCAUUUCCACGAGGCAGGUGCCUGGGAUGUCCCUGUCAUCCUGACCAGCUUUAAGUGCUGCCAGAGCCUGCCUGGUCUCACUCAGAUGCUGCCAAGGUUCUAAGGAGAUUUAGGGUCCCUCACACCCCUGGGGCAAAGGGAGGUUGGGAGCAAGGUGGGAUUUGGAGUCCUGGAAACUCCGGGAGUGUUGAUUUUUUUUUUUUCCCCCACCAAAAACCAGAGGCCAAUUUUGCAACCUUAGCGCAAAGCAAGGAGAAGAAAGCACUAAAUGUGGCAAGAACUGCCAAUUUCUCAACAAUUGUCAAGAAACAGUGAACUGAAAUAUCCCCUAAGGGUGGGGAAAAUGUCAAGCCCAGCAGUUGUCACUGGUUUGUUUUUUUUUACCUGCAAGUCACACGUUGCAUCCCUCCCUGGGGAUGUUUCUGCUCCUCCAACACUUCCUGACCUUUCCCAAAAUGCUGUGGUGUUGUACUUUCACUGCUGCUAUUUUUUUAUAUUGUUUUGGAGGGUGUGGGGAGGGAAAUGUGAUAGAAGGAAGUAGAAGGAAAGGUUUCUCUCUCUGUUCUUCUUUUUAAUUUUUUUUUUUUUCCUUAAAGCCAGAAAUGAGCAAAUGGAAAGUAUAAAACAACAUGAAAAUGCCCCAAUUCUUUCAAAAUAGCUCCUGGGUAAUUUCCACCCCCAAUCACAGAUUUUGUGUGCCAGUAAAAAAAAAAAGAAAAAAAAAAAUAUAUAUAUAAAUAUAUAAAACUCUGUAUCUCUAGUGAAACACAGAGGGAUUUUCCUUUGUCCACGUGCCUUGGGCACUGACCUGGGGAGGCUUUCCUUGGUCUUUGGUGGCUUUGAAAGCCCCGUUGUUCCUUCACAGGGACCCUUUAUGCUGAUCGUGCACAUUCUGUGGGCAUCUGUCAACAGGGGAGGGGGGAAACUGCUGAAAUGGGUAAUAAUGAGAUGAAAACAAUCCAUGCUGGCCUCUGGAUAAUAACCAGCUGAUAUUAAGCCUAAGCCCAGCUGAAAACAGUUAAUAAUAAAUGGGCAUUAAUUAAAGCUAAAUUACAGGGGAAGGUGCAGGCCUGGCUCUCAAUCCAAUUAGAGGGCUGUGGUUCGUAAUGGGCAGAAUCUGUCCAGCCUGUGAAUCAAUGAUCAAAGGCUGGGGAAGCAACAGCAGGGCUGUGUCAGGGUUGGGAUGAUGGCCUGGACAGGGAAGAGGCCAGAGGAGGAUUAAGAGAGAGCUCGUUUGGGUUUGCCACACACCCCAGAAGGUUUGGGAUGAGUCCUGGUGGGAGCAGGAUAUUCACUGCAGACCCCUCAUGGUGACAACAGGAGGGAAAGGGCAGAGCUGAGGCUGGUCCAAGGCUGGGUCUGACUGAUGUGUUCUGUGCAUCAGGAGGGAGAGGCAGAGCUGCCCUCACAGCUGAGGAGGGGCUUGGCCAGGGAGGAGCUGGGAAGUGAGGACGUGAUCCAAGAAGGAUCACCCUGGAACACAGCACUCCAGCUCUGGCAGCCUCAGCUCUGCCAAACUGAGGGGGACACGCCACCAAGGGUCACUGGGCAAGCUGCUGGAAGGGCUCCUCCCAGCCAGCAGCUCCAGGCUGCUCACACUCCCGAGAGCAGAAGCCUUGGUUUUAAACCUCACUGGUGCUGAGAGGAGCUUUGGAAUGUGCAUUCUUCCAAACAGCCCAAACACCUUUUCUUUCUAAAAAAAAAAAAAAAAAAAAAGUUUUUAAAGAAGCUUUGGAAUGUGCCAUCCUUCCAAACACCAGCUAAGAGGAAAAUCCCAGCGUUUUGGAAGCUGCUAUGAGGAAAAUCCCAGCGUUUUGGAAGCUCAGGGUGUUUCAGGCAGACCUUCAGGCGUGUCCCACGAAUGAGAGCAUCAGCAAUAGCUGGAAAAGGCUCUUCUGCUCCAGAAAAAGCCCACGUGUUUGCUGUUUCUCCUCCUGACCCAGAUGUGCAGCUCAGUGUCCUCCCUCGGGAGCAGCCACGGGAUAUUCCUGACACGAGGAGGCAGC
rnacentral:lncRNA from 1 species